UUCGCCGACAGACUAGAGCACCCAAAUCCGGUACCUCUGGUCUUGUUGCCGACGAGCGUAGCCAACCGUGUCGUCCCUGCGGACUCAAAUGCUGGGUCUGGCUGCGGUCAACAGCUCGGUGGCGAUAGCCCUGAUAAGGCGGGGGGAGUGCGCCGUCGUUCGGAUGCAUCUCCGACAGCGCCCAGAGGACCCUGGUUGGACAAAAAAGACGAGCAUUGUAGGGAGGACGAUGAGAAGGACUGGGAUUACAUCAGCACGAUGAUGAACUCUGAAGUGAUGGGCUAUAAAAUUGACUGAAUGAAGAAGUUCAUGUUUCGCACGGGCCGGCCCAUAUCAAUCCACUAAUCGGCACAAACAAUUAGCCGAUCGCUAAUCAAGGACUGCCGGUCAGGCUUGUUGCAGCUUUAGAGGCGCUGGCACGCAAAAGCCUGCCAUCUAAAGGCCAGCAUGUAUCCAUCUCAAGUCCGCAACGAACGGUCCAGGCAGCGUGCGCACCUACCACACCGGGGGGACAGCUGCCACCGUGCAUACAUAAUCGCCUCUCUUACAGUUUAUCUACAGACAAGAUUUGACAUGUUGCCCCAUAUUUGACAAAUUAAAGAAUCUCUUACUCAAUGAGUGGUUUACGACUAUUGGCCUAGUUUGCAUUCUCCAACACUCUCCAGCUCUUGAGAUGCUCACUCUUCAGCUUGGUAACACCGAGAAACUCCUCAGAGCAACGGGAGCCCAAGAAACAACAAAACAAUCAUUUGUGUGUGCGCACCUUAAGGUUGUCAACAUUGAACGUCAGAAGGUUGAUGAGGGAAUUCAUAAAAUUUUGAAGAUCUUAAGGGCAUGUGGCGUCCUUCGUGAUCACAUUAGCAUCAAUGACCCACAUUCUCUCUCAGAGUGUUUCAGUUUCCAGAAGCCCCCGCAUUCCGUGUACUACAGCCCUAGUUGUUGCCGCCAUGGACUCGCCUGACUUGCGUGCUCGCUUGUGAUGCCUCCUGUGUUGCCCUUUAUCCCUGCAUCAGCUUCUUGCUUUCUAUCUUUUGGCCCCGUGCUCGAAAUUAGCUUUGUUUGUUGUGGUGCAACUGGUCUCCAGUUCGUUGAACUCGUAAGGUUCACAGUUGGUUGGAACAUGACUAUGUUCACGUUUAGCAGAAAUGAGGACUGAGCUGGAAAAUCACUGUACUUCCGCUACCGGUAUUGGAAUCGGGGUUCGUGUGCCCUACUUGACAGCAUGAGUCGUGCUUAAUUUAAUUUAGAAGUAACUGUUUGGAUGUUGGACUUUCUCUUGGAUGAGAUGUUGAACCCUGUGUUUAAAUAUGUAGGCGUAUUCUUUUUUUUUAAUGUUAUGUAUCUGUGUUUUUAUUCUUUUUUCUUUCUUAAGUUAAGGAAUUUACAACAAGUCUCUUGCAAAAAUAACUAUCCUAUCCCUUUCUACAAUCUCUCUAUAUCCUUGUUACAUAAGAUAAGUAUUGUAUAAUAGUUCGGUUUUCUGUGAUUUUUCCAUUCCUCUGUGUAAAUAGCCUAAUAUGGGUUCACAAUCAAUAACAUCCUCACCAUCGAGAGUAACGAUCAGUCCAAGAACACCAUGCAUUGAUGGGUGUUGAGGGCCCAU